CAGAGACACUGAGGGAUUCAGAGUGAGAAGCCGCAUCACUGUUUAUAACUCAGACAGGAUCCACUGCAGACUUCUACAGAGACACCACCUGAGGGAGGCUGAGAUCUUCAUCACCAGUGAAGUCUGUCAUUUCUGGAGGUCUGCCAUCAUCACCAUCCCAGUUUUAGUGGUGGUAAUUGUUUUUGGACUGAUAACAGCUGCAGUUAUGUAUCACAAGAAAUAUGUGCAGUGGAAAAUUCUAAAGAAAGG
rnacentral:lncRNA from 1 species